rnacentral:rRNA from 1 species
GACGAACGCUGGCGGCGUGCCUAAUACAUGCAAGUAGAACGCACAGGAUGCACCGUAGUUUACUACACCGUAUUCUGUGAGUUGCGAACGGGUGAGUAACGCGUAGGUAACCUGCCUGGUAGCGGGGGAUAACUAUUGGAAACGAUAGCUAAUACCGCAUAAGAACAUUUACUGCAUGGUAGAUGUUUAAAAGGUGCAAAUGCAUCACUACCAGAUGGACCUGCGUUGUAUUAGCUAGUUGGUGAGGUAACGGCUCACCAAGGCAACGAUACAUAGCCGACCUGAGAGGGUGAUCGGCCACACUGGGACUGAGACACGGCCCAGACUCCUACGGGAGGCAGCAGUAGGGAAUCUUCGGCAAUGGGGGGAACCCUGACCGAGCAACGCCGCGUGAGUGAAGAAGGUUUUCGGAUCGUAAAGCUCUGUUGUUAAGGAAGAACGUGUGUGAGAGGGAAAGUUCACAC